GACGGGUGAGUAACGCGUGGGAAUAUGCCCUAUGGUGCGGAACAACUGAGGGAAACUUCAGCUAAUACCGCAUGUGCCCUACGGGGGAAAGAUUUAUCGCCAUAGGAGUAGCCCGCGUUGGAUUAGUUUGUUGGUGAGGUAAUGGCUCACCAAGACUACGAUCCAUAGCUGGUCUGAGAGGAUGAUCAGCCACACUGGGACUGAGACACGGCCCAGACUCCUACGGGAGGCAGCAGUAGGGAAUCUUGCGCAAUGGGCGAAAGCCUGACGCAGCCAUGCCGCGUGAAUGAUGAAGGUCUUAGGAUUGUAAAAUUCUUUCACCGGGGACGAUAAUGACGGUACCCGGAGAAGAAGCUCCGGCUAACUUCGUGCCAGCAGCCGCGGUAAUACGAAGGGGGCUAGCGUUGCUCGGAAUUACUGGGCGUAAAGGGCGCGUAGGCGGACAGUUUAGUCAGAGGUGAAAGCCCAGG
rnacentral:rRNA from 1 species